rnacentral:sRNA from 12 species
CCUUUGGAGUACUAAUAUAAACGAUAGUAGCUUGUCUUAUAAGACAGCGAGAGCGAGUACAAUGAAUAAGGAA